AUCCGGCCGACUAAAAAUACAGUGUCGAUUAGCCACUGAUCUCUAUAUAUAGAGAUCAGUGCGAUUAGCUAGUUCAGUCUUAUUUUCAUACAGAUCUGCACAAUAAUAACUACCCAAUAACUCCAAACUAACACCCAAUAACUCAAAAUGCUGACUUUGGAAACACAAAUUAACAACUGAAGACACGUCUGUUUAGCGUGAAGGGAGAUAACUCGUAUAGACCAUAUAUGGUUGCCCAUGUCAAAUUUACUGUCAAAACAAGCCAACAGUGAUGCUGAUGUUCCCCGCCGAAAUCCCAAAAUAAAUUGAUGACACAUAUUUAUAUUUCUGUAAAGUAUCAAGCAAUCAAACUGAUAAUCAACCAUACAAUAACAGAAUAUCAGCAUAAUUAGAAGACCUUUAUUGAGAACAUGAAAUAGACAUAAAUCGAGAGGAGCUCUAUUCCAAGUCUGACUUGCUGUCAGUAAACGUCUGCUUAUAAAGCCUCUAACAAUUAGCUGA